rnacentral:rRNA from 1 species
UACGGAGGGGGCUAGCGUUGUUCGGAAUUACUGGGCGUAAAGCGCACGUAGGCGGCUUUGUAAGUUAGAGGUGAAAGCCUGGGGCUCAACCCCGGGUCGGCCGUGCGAACUGUUUUGCUUGAGCACUGUAGAGGCAGGCGGAAUUCCGGGUGUAGCGGUGGAAUGCGUAGAGAUCCGGAAGAACACCGGUGGCGAAGGCGGCCUGCUGGGCAGUAGCUGACACUUAGGCGCGACAGCGUGGGGAGCAAACAGG